UAAGGAAUAUUGGUCAAUGGACGCAAGUCUGAACCAGCCAUGCCGCGUGGAGGAUGAAGGUCCUCUGGAUUGUAAACUUCUUUUAUCUGGGAAGAAAUGGUUGCUUUCUAGCGAUCUUGACGGUACCAGAUGAAUAAGCACCGGCUAACUCCGUGCCAGCAGCCGCGGUAAUACGGAGGGUGCAAGCGUUAUCCGGAUUCACUGGGUUUAAAGGGUGCGUAGGCGGAACAGAAAGUCCGUUGUGAAAUCUCCGAGCUUAACUCGGAAAUUGCGGUGGAUACUAUUGUUCUUGAAUACUGUUGAGGUUAGCGGAAUAUGUCAUGUAGCGGUGAAAUGCAUAGAUAUGACAUAGAACACCAAUUGCGAAGGCAGCUGGCUAAACAGAUAUUGACGCUGAGGCACGAAAGCGUGGGGAUCAAACAG
rnacentral:rRNA from 1 species